CGGGACGGGUGAGUAAUGUCUGGGAAACUGCCUGAUGGAGGGGGAUAACUACUGGAAACGGUAGCUAAUACCGCAUAACGUCUUCGGACCAAAGUGGGGGACCUUCGGGCCUCACGCCAUCGGAUGUGCCCAGAUGGGAUUAGCUAGUAGGUGGGGUAAUGGCUCACCUAGGCGACGAUCCCUAGCCGGUCUGAGAGGAUGACCAGCCACACUGGAACUGAGACACGGUCCAG
rnacentral:rRNA from 1 species